GACGAACGCUGGCGGCGCGCCUAACACAUGCAAGUCGAACGAGAGAUGAGGAGCUUGCUCUUCAGAUCGAGUGGCGAACGGGUGAGUAACGCGUGAGGAACCUGCCUCAAAGAGGGGGACAACAGUUGGAAACGACUGCUAAUACCGCAUAAGCCCACGGCUCGGCAUCGAGCAGAGGGAAAAGGAGCAAUCCGCUUUGAGAUGGCCUCGCGUCCGAUUAGCUAGUUGGUGAGGUAACGGCCCACCAAGGCGACGAUCGGUAGCCGGACUGAGAGGUUGAACGGCCACAUUGGGACUGAGACACGGCCCAGACUCCUACGGGAGGCAGCAGUGGGGAAUAUUGCACAAUGGGGGAAACCCUGAUGCAGCGAUGCCGCGUGGAGGAAGAAGGUCUUCGGAUUGUAAACUCCUGUUGUUGAGGAAGAUAAUGACGGUAACUCAACAAGGAAGUGACGGCUAACUACGUG
rnacentral:rRNA from 1 species